rfam:Drosophila sechellia strain Rob3c cont1.001002, whole genome shotgun sequence.
GUGUUGUUUGGAAGGAGAGCAAGUUAGCACUCCCCUAGACAAGGAUGGAACACAUAAGCGGGCGGCUAGGCACAAGACAAAGCCGUCCACAAAUUUUUUU